UUCUGUACACGGUCCUCAAAGGAUAUCAUUCCACUCUUAACCGGCUUUUGGACUUCAUGCUUCAGGGGGUAACAAUUUUUAAUAUCAUGACUGGGAGCUCCUUGGUGAAAGGCACAGUGGAGUUCCGAUUUGUACCACCAUGGAAGUGGUUCAGGAAUUUGAGGGGGAUUUCUUGGUUGCAAAAGGUUCUUGAGAACCAACAUGGAUAUAAUUCUGUGUAAGUCAUAAGAAUAGGGUCAAAAGAGACCUUCUUCCUCUCAAAGUUUUG
rnacentral:lncRNA from 1 species